rnacentral:lncRNA from 1 species
CACUGUGGUGUCAUAGCCAGCGAGGCACAAGCCAAGUGGCUGGGGGUUGUAGGUUGAUUAUAAUUCUGUUCUCCUAAUUUUUUUUUUCUUUUUAUGUUUUUGCUAAUGUGAAGGAGGCUGGUGAUUGGUGUUGGAAAAAGAAGCUGCAGGCUUUCUAACCAUCAGGCUUGCCUGGGGAUUGUUGCACAGAAGAAUAAGGGACUCGUUAAGUGAUAGAAAAGCAUUAAACAAAUAAUGGCUUCCAGAAAAAGCAGUACUCUCCUAGAAAAGCAAUUUCAGAUUCAACCCACUCUAAGAGAAAAAUCAAAUUGAUUAAAUCACUUUUCAAGAAAGAAAACAAAAAAAAGCUUGAAGCUGCUCAUGGUGGCCCAUGCCUGUAAUCCUAACACUCUGGGAGAUGGAGUCAAGAAGAUGAAAUAUUCAUGCAUUCAGAUGUUUGCUUGGGACCAGUGCUCUCCAGUAGAACUUCCUGCCAUGAUGAAAAAGUAUCUGUGCUGUCCAUGAUGAUAGCCACAAAAUACAUGGAGUAAUGGACCACUUCCACUGUGGCCAGUGCAACUGAGGGACUCAACUUCUAAUUUUAAUUAAUUUAAAAUUAAAUUGCCAUAUAUUUA